GUGGAGACUGAGGUCGGUAAACAUACAGUGCCACCUACAGGACGCAAUGCAGCGGUCCCGCCAAAAAAGUGUUGGCUUGCUUACGUGACCUUUUCUUCAAAAAGAGCGGCGUCUCUCCGUUUCUGGUUUUCCCAUCUUUGUUCUGUCUUCACUGUGUCCGCGAGGUGAUUUUCUCUUUCUUCUCUGAGCUUGUGAUGAGACGCCAGCAAAAACAACCACUAGGAACGUAGGCGACAAACCAUGUCAAAUUUCGAAAGAUGGCCGCAAACGGGCAGGCGACGGACGUUUGAGACACUACGGCAGCGUGAUCCCGUCGAGGACAGAGGAGUGCCCCAUAGGCCAUGUUCUCUUUUUCGGCUUGCCAGUUUGUCACGGCGUACCAAGAUCCUUGGAGUAAAGUCGAACAGUCGAUCUACUCUCUGUUUUGGCCUGUCCGCCAGAGCUCAUCGCCAGUCUUACUUCUUUCUCGAACUGUUCAUGUUGCUCGCGCAUCAGUCGUCGAUGAUGCGCCCUUUCUCGUUCGAGGUCGUCAUCGUGCUCGCGGGUCAUCUGUUCUUUGAUCCUCUGUAUUCUCCCCUGGGCGUCCUUCUGAAACUAAGGCGCAUGCAGAAAAGAACAAGUCCGCACUGGCCGUGUUAUGGUCUGUGUUCCGAGCGUCCAGCGUUCGGCGUCCGUUACUCCACACUUGGUUGGAGCCGUUUCUACUUAUGAAUGUAAUGUCAAAGCGGCGGUGUCUGUCCUGGGCACCUGGCUGGAGCGCCUCCAACUAGUCAGAAGUUCAGUGUGGAGAAACGAUGACAUGAUUUCGGGUCUGCAGGUCUCUCAAACGUUACUAACCUUCUCUGACCCAUUUUCGUUACGCGACAAUCGUCAAAAGCCGCAAAAGUGACACUGUCGUGGCCCUGACAGUGCUAAUUGAUGAAGGGUGACAGAAGCACAGACAAGCCUCGAUUUUAUUCCACGUUUUUCAUCCGUUUCCUUUUGUUCGCUGAAACAGAGUUUCAGUUCUGUGAACCGAGUUUCGCGUUCCAAGAACGAUCGUGUUGUGCCGCUACCUCUUCUAGUGCGCGCCUAAUUUUUUCUUCGAUUCUCCUCUUCUCUUGCUGAUGCCGAUCCAUCAGACGCUGGAUUUCUGGUUCCAGUCCUUUAAUCGUGAUUUCUUUGAUCUCUUGCGUCUUGUCCCGUUGCCAUGCUUCUCGCCGAGCCUGCCUCAAGGGAGCAAGCCCAAUACAACACCUAAGGGGAAAAUUCCCUGGAGAGGAGUGUGAAGUGCGAGUUUCAGAGACCGAGAUCUUUUGCACGGUGUAGAUGCUUCCCACGUGUUCCACAGCUCCGCUCGAGCAUACGGUACAAACCUUUGAGCCCUUACGAGAGGUCUACGCUUCCAAGCAGAAAAAUAUAGUGGUCUAUGUAUUGGAUUUGCUGGCGCACUGGAGCUGCCCUUGUGGCCGUGAGACGUGAUUCUUAAAAACAACUGCCCCACCCGGAGCCGCUUUAUGGAACGAAGGCGCUCCGGGGCCCGCGGUAACAAAUGGUUCCAGAUGAUCAGUUGAGGAAUGCACAAAAAAGCGACUGCGCAACACCGCAUCAGCGAGUAGCAUUCUCGCCGUUUUGUCGAGUCACCUUCUCUGCGCUUAUGGACUGCCGUUUCUGGCGUUCGGCUUCUCUUUCAAAGCGUUUUUCCUGCUCCUCUAGCUUCAGCUGGAACCUGGCCUCCGCUUGCUUCAUCUCCUCCGCCAGACCAUCACAUUUCUUCGUUAAUUCAUUUUUGUCGGCCAGGAGUUUGUCCACCAUGUUAAGCUGACGUUCCACAGCCUCUUCAUAUUUGGCCUGAUCCGUCGACAGGCAGCACUAAACAUUAGGUGACGUAUCCUGUAUAAACGCUUCAGCUACUGAAGUGUGUGGCGCAUCAAUGCCACACGAAACCUCGUCAGUCCUCCGGAAACGCGAUACAGAACUUGUUCAUCUUACGCUAAAAGAGUGUGUUUGCGCAAACCUCUGGUCUGUCCAUCUGGGCGAAAAACGGCGCCUUCGUGCAAAGUGUUUUGCUAUGCGGUACAAGAACUUCCCCGAUUUCCCACAGUAGCGCCUGCUGAAUCCGAGUGCUGGUCUGAACCACCUACGAUUUCUGCUUUGAACCCUUUCUGAAGUUGCUCUUUCAGUUGUCGCUUUGCUUCUUCUUGCUGGUCCAGGAGCUUUUUGAGUGCUAGCACGCUCUGGUGUUUCUCCUCUAUCACCAGCUCGAGGGCGGCGACUUUCUGCCGUAAAACCGCCGUCUUCGAGUCUGCACCGAUCGGCGGGUGAGACGAAAGCACAUCGGGAAGCUCCCGGUCGACGUUUUUGCCCACUCCUGUAUCAGAGUGUCCUCUGCCUGAACCCUCGCGGUUAAUUUGCUGCGGUUCUACAGCAGUCUUAUCCAAGAAGUCGAGCAACUUUGAGAACUUCGAGGCUUUCUGUGUCAUGCCUUCGGUUCCGCUUGGAGGACCGGCAAGUCCUUCGGCGUUUGGGGACCUGGGAC
rnacentral:lncRNA from 1 species